ensembl:lncRNA
UAAAUUUCAGUCAAAAUAUUUGAGAAUGGAGAAAUACUGAUCUGCUACAAAAACUACUGUUAUAACUCAUUCCAUAACAAUAUUCUUAAACAACAACUUAAGAAACAAUUGGACACAGUUAACAAUCUAUCAUCAGUAUAUUGUAAUGGUACUUAAUGUAGUUACAGUCAUUUUAAACUGUACCUUCUGGCCAAAACAUGAGUCCAAAAGCUUUUCACUUUAAAGGACAUUAGUUGAUGGACUGUAGUCAUGUGAAUUACUUGUGGAUUUUUUUGUUGUUUAUAUCAGCUGUUUGGACUCUCAUUCUGACGGCACCCAUUCACUGCAAAGGAUCCAUUGGUUAAGUGAUGUAAUGACAAAUUUCUCCAAAGAAGAAACAAAUUAAUCUACAUCUUGGAUGGUAUGAGGGUAAAUGUUUAAUUUUUUGUUUGAACUAAUCAUUUAAGUGUAAAAAAAAAAAAAAAAAAAACAUUCUUUGUUUAUGUUUUUAGAGUGUAUUGGGUAAGGAGUAGAGUUGUUAAAAUGGAAAUAAUUAAUUUUUACACUUCAUUACUCUUGCUUGUUCUAGCUUCUCUCUUGUGCCUUUUGGGAAUAAAAAAGCAACAUUUCCUGUUUUGCUGGGCAUUUCAUUUAGCUGUCAGCAGAUGCAGAGACCUAGUUUCCCAUCUCGUGAGAGAGAGACAGAGAGAAAGAGAGAGAGGGAGAAGAAUGUGGAUGGGGAUGACAAGACAGUGGAAAGUCUGGAACAUUACGCAGGUUCAAAAUCAUACCUAACAAAACAUGACGUCCUGACAACUUCACGCACUGUACCUAUCAGUCACAAGACUGUAAAAUGGGUCAUUCUCAGGAAACUGUGCCAUUUGUGCCUGAAGUUCAGUUUCAUUUGAAAAGGUUACUGCUGAAUUUGCAAAAAAUCUUAUUUUUUGCACCUCAAGCCUGAAGUACCAGCGUCAGAACUGAUACAUAGACACUGGAGGAAUCAGAAAGAACUUUAUUGCCAGGUAUGUUUACACAUACAAGGAAUUUGUUUUAGUGACAGAAGCUUCCACAGCACAAAAAGAAUGACAGUAACAAGACAAGACAGAUAAUAAAAAUAAUAAUAAUAAUAAAUAAUAAUAAUAA